AUUGAACGCUGGCGGCAGGCUUAACACAUGCAAGUCGAGCGAGCGGCGGACGGGUGAGUAAUGUCUGGGAAACUGCCCGUUGGCGGGGGAUAACUACUGGAAACGGUAGCUAAUACCGCAUACCAUUAGAGGUGCCCAGAUGGGCUUAGCUAGUUGGUGGGGUAAGGGCUCACCAAGGCGACGAUCCGUAGCUGGUCUGAGAGGAUGACCAGCCACACUGGAACUGAGACACGGUCCAUACUCCUACGGGAGGCAGCAGUGGGGAAUAUUGCACAAGGGACGCAAGCCUGAUCCAGCCAUGCCGCGUGUGUGAAGAAGGCCUUCGGGUUGUAAAGCACUUUUAUCGAGGAGGCGGUAUCUGAAGAAUAAGCACCGGCUAACUCCGUGCCAGCAGCCGCGGUAAUUC
rnacentral:rRNA from 1 species